AGCAUUGAGAAAGCCGGCAUUUAAGUGCUCUGGCUGGUCUUAUCAAAUCUUAUUCAUUCAUUUGUUUGUUUAUUUGUUUUGGAAUCAGGGUUUUACUGUAUAAUCCUGGCUGACCUAGAACUGGUUAUGUAGACCUAGGUUGGACUCAAACUCACAGAGACCUUCCUGCCUCUGCCUCUUGAGUGCUGGGAUUAAAGGUGUGUGCCACCACCACCUGCCACGAAUGAGUUUUCCAGUGUUUGUCAGGUUAAGUGUUUGGAACUGGUGUGAGCGUUAUGUUCACAGGCUAUUCUUAUGGUCAUAUUCCAAGAGUCCAUAGUAGCCAGGCAGAGUGUUGAAUGUCUGUAAUCUCAGUACUCAGGAUGCCGAGGCAGGAGAACCCAUCCUGGGUUACAUACCGGAAGGUCUAUAGCACGAGUCUGAGGUAGAAGAGUAUAGGCAUUAACAAUCUCCUCCUUUAUAAGCUAUUCACUACCUGCCUCUUCUACUAAUGACAUAUUUAACCCUGAUGGAGGGCAGGCAAUGGCAGGAGAGAUGGAGAAAGAGUGUAGACCUCAGUGAGGUCUUCAAUCCCACAUAGCCCAGGAAGACCUGGCCGCCAUCAGCCCCUUUUGUAUUUGGGAUUUCAUAGCUGGCAAGGCUGCAUGUAAUGGUUGUGAUAUGCAGACCACCUAAUGGUAGGGCAUGGUUAGGGCAUGAAGACAAGGAGAGGGUGGCAGCAGAGAUGGGCACCUGUCCUGUGUGCCUCUCUGCAGGGCUGGGAGACAGGAACUUGAUGGAGCUCACACUGAGACCCUGGAAACAUGAGUCCCUGUGCACUAGACAGCAGGACCUGAUUGUUGGAGGCCAUCUGUUCCAGUUUCAUUUCUGUUGUUGAGACAAACACCCUGACCAAAAGCAAUAUAAGAGAGAAAACUGUGUUUGGUUUAUAAUUCCAGGUUACAGUCUAUUAUUUUGGGGAAACCAAGGCAGGAACUCAAAGCAUUGCAGUCUACAGCCAAGAGCAAAAGGAGAAUGAGCGCAUGGAUCCUUGUUUGCUGCUCUCUUGCUCCCAGCUAGCUUUGUUCUCUCCUACUGUUCAAGACUGCCUGCUUAGGCAAGCAGUAGACUGUGUCUUCCUGUAUCAGUCAAGACCCCUCUGCCCCAGGCAUACCACAUAGGCUAACCCCGUUUAGAUAAUGCCUCAUUAAGACUCUCUUCCCAGCCUAGGUUGUGCCAAGUUGACGGUUAAAGCUAAUCAUGACGCUGUUCUUGUCUUUUCCCUUUCAGCGUUCCAGCUGAUCCUCACCAUUGUGGGCACCAUCGCUGGGGCCCUCAUUCUCAUCCUGCUGAUUGCAUUUAUCGUCUCAGUGAGUUCAAAAAACAAAAAGAAGAAUGUGGAGGAACAGAAGUUGAUUGAUGAAGACUAUCAGAACGUACGAAUGCAGCAGACCGGCUUCAGCAAUUCCGGCUUCAACAAUUCCGGCUUCAGCAACUCUCGCUUCAGCAACUCUGGCUUUAGCAACAACUCCGAAUUCAGCAACUUCGGAGCUGGCAACAGCAUCUUCCCCAAAGUCAAGACCCAAAAUCCUUAUGCAAACCAGCGAAGCAUGCCUCGCCCUGACUACUAGAAUGAGAAGAAUUUGGAGCCCUCCCUAGCCCAGACCACACGAGCUGUGAUUUUGAGUGUUUAGAGGACAAGAGAAGUGGGCAGAGACAAAAACCUGACCUCCAGGGUUCUGUCUACCCCAUCUGUCAACCCCUCUGAGUGUGGACCUGUAUGAAGAAUUCAGCUCCCUGAAGACACCUAUAAAAUUAAACGCACAUAGACACUA